rnacentral:snRNA from 12 species
AUUGCUUCUUGGCCUUUUGGCUAAGAUCAAGUGUAGUAUCUGUUCUUAUCAGUUUAAUAUCUGAUAAGUCCGCUAUCUGAGGACAAUAUAUUAAACAGAUUUUCGGAGCUGGGAGAUGGAAUAGGAGCUUGCUCCGUCCACUUCUCUCAUCGACUUGGUAUUGCACUACCUCCAGGAAGGGUGCAUGCCUC